rnacentral:tRNA from 1 species
UGCCGGGGUGGCGGAACGGUAGACGCGGUGGCCUCAAAAGCCGCUGUCCUUCGGGGCGUGCGGGUUCGAAUCCCGCCCCCGGCAU